rnacentral:lncRNA from 1 species
GGAGUUUUCCUCUGGAGGUGAGAAGUCCACCUACCACAAAGUAGAAAUUUCUUAAGUCAGAUUUCAGAGAAAACUCCCUUUCUCUUGUGGUGUAAACUUAAUUAAUAUUUCACCGGUGUCUACAUAUUUGAUAUUUAUUGACUUUUUUUUUUCUAAGUUUGGGUUAACCCCAGAUGGUAAAUUGCAAGCAGAGAGUGCCCUAAUCCAAAGAAAUCUGUGAGGCAAAAAUGCAAAUUGUUCUUGCUUCUGAAUACUUUGGUAACAUUGAUCAAUGUCAAGGGUGUUAGGGUGCCUAAUGAUCUGACAGUUAUUCUUCAUGGACAUUUAUUGCCCAGGUUAAAAUAUUUUCUAAUCCCCACCACCCUCUCUCUCUUCCUGCCCCCUUCACCCUGCAACAAUUCAACCACUUCACACAAGACAUAAAAGGUGCAGUCAUCUGUAUUUAAAGGACUUGGAAAUGAUAAGUGAUAAAUGGACUAGUGUGCUCCAUUUUGUAAAUGUUUAUCUUUGAUAAACACAAGACUUUGUGCUUUUAAGUGUCUAACACAGAACCUGGCUUGAAGUGGAUGUUCAAUGAAUAUUGGUUUCCUGAAUACAUAAGUGAACGAGGUACUCAAAGUUAAUGUAAUAGCCUAAUAGUCUAAAAUAAAAUACUUUCAAAUGCUUACUUUGCAACCCCUGACUAAUAAAGAACAGAAAUUUAAAAUGUACUUUUAAGUCUUUAUAUGUCUUAUGUUGGUGGGGAUUAUUUUUAAUGAAAUAACACAAGGUGGAAAUAGUACACUAGCAGUGGCUUCAUUGAACUGAAUGCUGUGUGGGUGAAUUACUUAGCUGAAGCUUCUGCAGUAUAACAGUAAGAAUAGUACUUCCCUCGUAGGGCAGGGGGUAAGGGAAUUGUGUGAACUACUGCAUGAAAUCACUUAGCCCAGUGCCUGCCACCAGGUAAGCAUUCAACAGCUAUUGCCAUUCUCAUCUUUACCAUCAACAGCAGCAUCAUCUCAGGAACUAAUUGAUAGGUUCCAAGUCCUAUUGAUUCCAGAGGUUUAGUCAAGGACCUCUCAGACCAUUAUAAAAAUAUGGUGAAAAACCCCAGGCUCCAGGGGCUAAAUGGCUGGUGUGUAAACAACCAGAAAAGUUCUACCCUCCCUAAGUGGUGCACUUAUACAGAAUAUUCCAAAUUCCUUCCGAAAGUCCUUUCCUUUGACUCAGGAAAGCUAUUCUGGUUCCAAAAUCUAUGGUUGGAGUUUUUCGGAAAACAACCAGCCUUAAACAUGCCAUCAGUCGAAUUUUGUUUAACCUUGGCAUAGUCCCCUCUCUGUUCUAUCUACUUUAAACAAACCUUUAGGGAGAUUGAGAGCCAGAGAGAGUACAGAGGGUCAGGAGGCAGGGGGGCAGGUAAUCAAUUGUACCAGAGAUAUAUAUUUUUUAAUAUCAAGGAUAAAACUCUUGAGAAGGGGACAUGAUUGGGGCCAGGCACAGUGGCUGACACCUAUAAUCCCAGCACUUUGGGAGGCCAAGGUGGGCGGAUAAUUUGCGGCCAGGAGUUCAAGACCAGCCCCGCCAACAUAGCGAAACCCCAUCUCUACUAAAAAUACAAAAAAUUAGCUGGGCAUGGUGGAGGCUGAGGCAUGAGAAUCACAUGAAUCCAGGAGUUAGAGAUUGCAGUGAGCCAAGAUCAUGCCACUGCACUCCAGCCCGGGCAACAGAGCGAGACUUUGUCUCAAAACAAAAGCAAAAACAAAAACAAACAAAAAGAAGGGUACAUGAUUGGAAAUUCUGAUGAGAGGGGUUUCUGAGGUUAGAAAGGGCACAAACAGUGCAAACCUGUUCAUGAACCUGUUCAUGUCAUGAACAGGGCAGAAUGCUUCAGGAAAGAAUUGUCGAAAGUAAAAAAGCAAAUAAUGGAUGUAGCUUAUUCUAGUUAUUGAAGAAUCCAACGGGAUGGAAGCUAAAUGUAGCACACGGCAUGGGCGAUGUCUCAACAGUGAGUGGGAUAACAAGUUGUUUUAAUGGUUCAGGGCCAAUAACCGGGGAGGAUGAGGAACGGCAUGUCUGUUUUGAGUAAACAAGAGUGAUUUCCUUCCCUGACACUGAAAAAUGAAACCUUUGGGGAAAUAGAGGAAGGGUCUGGGGAAGAGGAGAGAGAAUAGAAUUAAAGAUGGAAGUAAGGCUGGGUGCAGUGGCUCAUGCCUGUAAUCCCAUCACUUUGGGAGGCCGAGGGGGUGGAUCAUGAGGUCAGGAGAUUGAGACCAUCCUGGCCAACAUGGUGAAACCCCGUCUCUACUAAAAAUACAAAAAUUAGCUGGGUGUGGUGAUGAGUGCCUAUAAUCCCAGCUACUCGGGAGGCUGAGGCAGGAGAAUCACUUGAACCUGGGAGGCGGAGAUAGCAGUGAGCUGAGAUUGCGCCACUGCACUCCAGCCUGGCCAACAGAGGGAGACUCCGUCUCAAAAAAAAAAUAAAAAAUAAAAAAAUAAAUAAAUAAAAAAAAAAAAGAUGGAGGUGAAGGAAUGAGAUUCUCGUGGAGACAAUUUAGUUUUUUAUUUACUAGGAGAAAGUUGAUCAUGAGUAUACAGUUAGGAGAAGAGUCACAAAGAGAAUGGCACUAAACUGGAAAUGGAAGUCACACCAGAAGGUUUGCAAUCCCACAGAGAAACCCAAAAACAUGGGGAGAGGUUGGUAUGAAUAAUGCAAGGAUAGAUGGAAGGGCUUGAUGAGUUGGUUGAGUUUUGUAUCAAACCUGCUAUGAAAUAUAGGGCCUUGGAACAAGGACUUUGUCUACCCUAUUCUCCACUGUAUCAUCAGAACAAGAACAGCUUCCAGCACAUACUAGUUGCCUUACAACUAUUUGUUGAGUGACUACAUGAAUAGAAGAAAAUAUUAGGGAUCCCUAAACACUAUAAUACAAAAUAAGAAGUAUUGUUUAAGUCAAUACCCAAGAAAUAAGGUCCAGAGUCCCCCAGAAAUGGCAGUAAUCUUUUAUAUAAGGACAGCGAGUUGCACUCAAUAUGUUGGGUCUACAGAUUUGUCAGGAUGCUAAGACUCUGGUCAAAGGAUGUACAUGUCUGGUUAAGUGAGAAUGAGGUUGCAGCCUGCAACUCAGGUGACGCAGAGAAAGAGUUAAGAAUAGAAAAUUGGACUCCGAGCAGCGGCUCACAUCUGUAAUCCCAACACUUUGAGAGGCUGAGGCGGAAGGAUCUCUUGAGGCCAGGAGUUUGAGACCAGCCUGGGAAACAUAGCAAGACCCUGUCUCCAUAAAAAAAUUAAAAAUUAGUUGGGCAUGGUGGUGCAUGCCUACAGUCACAGAUAUUCAGGAGGCUGAGGCAGGAGGAUCUCUUGAACCCAGUAGUUCAAGGCUGUAGUGAGCCAUCAUUGCACCACUGUACUCCAGCCUGAGCAACAGACGGACACCCUGUAAAAAAAAAAAAAAAAAAAAAAAAAAAAAGGAAGCAAACUGGAGACUACGAAGGAGGUGAUCAAGAGGUGAUAGAGUUGGUGUAGAUACUGAAGAUCUUUUGGAAUGCUGAUGUGUGAACGGGAGGAGAAGAAGGAUGUUAAUUAGGGACGAAAAGCAUCAAUGAGGGAAGAGGCAGGGGCCUGGGACCAGCCUGUGAUUCCAUCUGGAGGACAGAGUGGCUCGCCCUACCUUGGGGAUGUCUUGUGAGUACAAGAAUCACAGAUGGAAAGAAGGGCAAGCGACAGGGGCAUCUUCCUUAAAUCGCAUUGAUAGGUUCAUGUGUGGUGCACAUGUGUCACAUAUAUGAUGCAAAAGGGGUCCUGGCCCCUUGGUGAUGGCAUAGAUGUGUGUAGCCACAUUUAAGGAGUCACCAGUUGAAGAAGAGAUGUUGAAUUAUUCUCACAGAGAAAAUUCCUCAAGCAUAAAGAAGUUCAGAAAAAUCUCAUCUUUUCAACUGCAUUAUGCUCUGGCCUAGGUCUUUGCCAUUUUUCUUUCAUUGUGUAUUUUUUUCCAAGUGACCAGCAAUGCUGAAUGAAACAGUCAAUCCUGAUUUAUUUGGGCUCCUGGACAGUGUGCCCGUAUGCGCGCGUCCACACACACACACACACACACACAGACAGACACACACACACUUUUUUUUUUAAUACUCCACUAUUCAGGAUCAGAGUCCAUAAAUCUGUUUUUGAAACUUUCUCUAAAAAGAGGCUACAGUUAUGUGCCUCUAAACAUCUGGCCAAACUGCAGAAGAACCCAGUUAACUAUCCAGAUGUGAAAUUCACAGUGGGCUGAACAUGGGGAUUUAGAAGUACUCCACGCAGUGGGAUUUCUUUUUCAGCUUUCUGUACACAAACCAGAAAAGCAGCUCAGUAAUGGUGUCAACUAGAUCCAUUCCUGUGGGAGUCCCACUUCUUAAGAGAGGAAUGAAUGAUGAACGAAUGAAUGAAUGAAUGAACGAACAAACGCAACAGUGCUCUCAGCUCUGGAGAGAACAAGCUACAGAGCCCAAAGCGGCUGGAUGCUCCGGCUCAGCCCCCCUCGCCUCCUGCCCUGGAUGAGCUGCCCUGUGGGUUGCUUCAGAUCACUGUUCUUGGCUCAAAUGCGUUACCUAAGACAGAGAUCAUUUGUCAAGUGAGCAGGGUACACAGAGAGCUGUAGGCAGAUUAUGGAAAGAGAGAGGGAGGAGAGAGAGGGAGGAGAGAGAGCGCGGGAGAGGGAGAAAGAGAGAGGGGACCAGGGCGAGGAGAGGAGCAGGCUUCUCCAGGAACGGCGCUUUGCAGGCGCUGGGGAUUCAAGUUAGACCGGGUGGCGGUGCAGAGGCGCCACCCGGGAGAGGGGAGCCACCACGGCUCCCGACAUGGCUCUUUUCAUGUGGGAUGCUUAAGCACGGCACACAGAGAGAGUAACUUGCAGGAGACAGAAACUGGCAUGAGGAUUCUGCCACCAUGGAAGGGCUCCUGUCUCCGAUGAGGACGAAGGCUGAGCUCUCUGGCGCAUGGUGGCCUCUCACAUGGGAGGCAGGCUGUGUCCCCAGCAUCCCCAUGGGCUUUGAGUUGAAAGGCGAGCCCUCUGAAAGCGAGCUUCUGAGACCCGUUCCGUCUCUUUCUGAUGAGAAUGCGUCC